GCACGAUUUGCAACUAUGUACGCUUGUAUAAACGCUUGUAGAUAAGUGUUAUUACAUAGAUAUAAAAUAUACAUAUGUAUUGAAUGGUACAAAUAAAUUCGGUUGCAAAUAUAAAAAAUAUGUUCUAAUUCUAGAAUAAAAAUAUUUGAUAAUGAAUGAACUUAUUUAUGAGCCAGCAUAUGUAUAUGCAAUAUUUCAUUUCCGAAGACCAAGUUGGACAAUCUAAAUAUCUUUCUAUAAAACAAAAUAAAAUAAGCUACCUUCAUUUUCAUUCCAAAAUGCAGUAAAAUGUAAUAAUACAUUUCUGAAUCGACUUCUUUUUCUAUGCUUUAAUGAAUAUGUUAAAUAAGAAUAAUAAUUUUUGAAAGAAUAAAAGUCUAUUGCAAUGAUAGAAACUUAAUUAGAAGAAAAAGGAUGAAACGCGGUAAAAAGGAAGUUGCCGAAAGGAUAUAAAUAAGUAGUUCAAUAGACAAAAAAAGGAACAAAAAAGGAAGAGUGAUAGGAGAAUGAUGAAAUAGAUGAGGGAGGAAAUAGUAGAGAUGAAGAAAGAGAUAAAAUAGUAGAAGAUGGAAGGAAUUGCGAGGAGGAGAUGAAGAAUGAGAAGCAGAGAAAAUGGUAAUAGAGAUGUAUGUGAAUGGAGAUACCUGCGAGAAAAUGGGAAAAAUUAAAAAGUGAAGUUUGGAUUAUUGGAAGUGAUUUGAAUGUAAGGUCAGGAUAGGGAAGUGGAGAUUUCGGUUGGAAGAGGAAAAAAAAAGAACAAAGUCAAGGGAUAAAAAAUUGAACAAGGAAAAAGGUUAUUGAUAUUUCUGAAGGAGAUGAAAUGGGAAAUUCUAAAUGAAAAUAUAAGAAGAUGAAGAGAAGAAAUAUACAUAUAUGGGGCAAAAGGGAGACUUGACAAUAGACUGUUAUAAGAAUUGGAGAGUUGGAGAAAAAUGGAAAAGUUAGUAAUAGAAGACAGAGUCCUUUUAACCACUAUCUGGCAAUUCUAUGAACGAAAGGAAAUGGGGAAAAAACAAAAGAGGAAAAAGAACAAGGAUGAAAAAGGUUAAAUUGGACGGUAGAAUGGAUUACUCUGGUAGUAGUAAAAAAAGGAAAAGAAGUGAUGAGGAAAGAAUAUAUAGGAAGUCUUUAAUGCCAACCUUAUAUAAGAUCUAUAUGGAAAUGCUGGAGAAAAAGCUAGAGAGGAAGAUAGGAGAAAAAAGAUAAUACCGGGAAACUAAAUGGGUUUUAGAAAAGGACUACUUUUGAUAAUGUAGAUAGGAAUAUAUUGUGGAAUGCAAUGGGUAAGAGAAGGAUGAAAAGGACUCUGGGUAAGAGAAGGAUGAGAAGGAAAUAUACAAGGAAAUGAUACCGAGGGUAAAAGUCAGAGGUAAAAUGGGAGAGUUAUUAUGAACGAGAAAAGGAUUAAAAGCUGAGCUUAAUACUGUUCAAUUAACGCAAUAGUGUUCAAAAACUUUACUAUUUUUUUUUUAUUAGAUUAUUUGAUCUUAUUAUCAUACAUUAAUUUAAAAGGUAUUUAAAAGGUUUUACUUUCUUAUCUCAGUAUACUUUCUUAUUUAUUAUAAAAUAUUAUACUAGGAAUCAUGAUAGGACGCUUGAUUGAUAUCUUUCGAUCAAUACGUGCAUAAAAAAAGAUAAAAACAAAAAAUUAAUAGUGUCCGAGCAAUUAAUCAUAAUUAGCAAAGAAGCAGAAGAUGCUUCCCUUGUAUUAACUUCCUGUUAUAGAUUUUUGUCUUUUGUAUUUUGUGUUAAUAAAAAUCUAUUAAAUAAUAAA